AAUCUGCUUCUUGCUGUGGGGUAACUUGAGAAGGGGAGGGUGCUGUUUGGGAGAGAAGCGACGGGGGAACCCCAUCCUACUCCCGUUGCCGGAGGAAUUUCCACUCAAGUACGGAAGAAAAUGAUGCACUUCUCCCCUUUCCCAGCGGCUGCUGCUCGGACGAGGCUUCCCUGCGAUUUAAUCGGAACUGGAUUUAGGAAAGCCACGUUUCUCCGGUGGAGGGCGAUUUGGGAAUAAAACGGCGACCCAAACUCUGCUCCUGGAGCUGGAAGAAAGCUCUGGUCGCUGAACAGCUGUUCUCUGGCUGCUGUGCUUGCCUCCUCCCAUCCCAAUUUGGAAAGGGGAGCCAGAACUAUUUUGCUGGAUUGUUUUGUUUAUUUUGCUCGGUUGCUGCUGCAUGAAUUGUAGUUUGCACUGCUGCAUUGGUUGGUUCUUGUUUUCUCCCUCUGCUUCUUCACUCAGCUGUUUCCGAAGCUGCCCCUUGCCUUAGGAGCUGCACUGCCACCUCUCUCCUUCCAGCAUGGCGAGCCCCACCGAUAACAGUGAGGGCUUCUUCUCAGAUGUCAGGAAGGUGGGUUAUUUGCGCAAACCCAAGAGCAUGCACAAGCGCUUCUUCGUGCUGAGGGCAGCCAGCGAGUUGGGACCCGCCCGGCUGGAGUACUAUGAGAACGAAAAGAAAUGGAGACACAAGUCGGGGGCCCCAAAGCGCUCUAUCCCACUGGAGAGCUGCUUCAACAUCAACAAGAGGGCAGACUCCAAAAAUAAGCAUCUGGUGGCUCUCUACACUAAGGAUGAGCACUUUGCCAUUGCUGCUGACAGUGAGUCUGAGCAGGAGAGUUGGUACCAGGCGCUGCUGCAGCUGCACAACCGGGCCAAGAGCCAUCACCACCAGCACCACCAGCACCACGGGGAUGUCACAGUGGGAGGUGGGAGUGUCGGGUUAGGAGAGGCCAGAGAGGGCAGCUACAGUGACAUGGCCCCUGGCCCAGCAUUUAAAGAAGUGUGGCAAGUGAUCCUGAAGCCCAAAGGUCUGGGCCAGACUAAGAACCUGAUUGGCAUCUACCGCCUGUGCCUAACCAACAAGACUAUCAGUUUCGUUAAGUUGAACUCUGAUGCCGCAGCUGUGGUGCUGCAGCUGCUCAACAUCCGGCGCUGUGGCCACUCGGAGAACUUUUUUUUCAUUGAAGUGGGGCGCUCCGCAGUUACUGGACCAGGUGAGUUCUGGAUGCAGGUAGAUGACUCAGUAGUAGCACAGAACAUGCAUGAGACUAUUUUGGAGGCCAUGCGGGCUAUGAGUGAAGAAUUCCGGCCUCGCAGCAAAAGCCAGUCUUCUUCCAAUUGCUCCAAUCCCAUAUCUGUGCCUCUCCGCAGCAGGCAUCACAUCAACAACCCACCGCCCAGCCAGGUGGGGCUCAGCCGUAGGUCCCGGACUGAGAGUGUAACUGCGACUUCUCCUGCUGGUAGUGGUGUGGGAGGUGGAGGAGGGGCAGGGGGCAAGCCUAACUCUUUCCGUGUCAGAGCCUCUAGUGAUGGAGAAGGUACCAUGUCCAGGCCAGCUUCAGUUGACGGAAGUCCAGUGAGUCCAAGUGCCAACCGGGCCCACUCACACAGGCACCGCGGCAGCUCAAGGCUUCACCCCCCUCUCAACCAUAGCCGCUCCAUCCCAAUGCCUUCCUCACGCUGCUCCCCGUCAGCCACAAGCCCUGUCAGCCUGUCCUCCAGUAGCACCAGUGGCCACGGCUCCACCUCAGACUGCCUCUUCCCUCGACGGUCCAGUGCUUCAGUCUCUGGCUCCCCUAGCGAUGGGGGUUUCAUCUCCUCCGAUGAGUAUGGAUCUAGUCCCUGUGACUUCCGCAGCUCCUUUCGUAGUGUCACCCCUGAUUCCCUGGGACACACCCCACCUGCUCGAGGAGAUGAAGAGCUUAGCAACUACAUUUGUAUGGGGGGGAAGGCUGCCUCAUCCUGCUGCAGCAUCACAGCUCCUAAUGGCCAUUUUGCACCCCGCACUUGCCAUCUUCAGCAGCAAGCCCGCUACCCUGGUGUUCUGUGCUGUCCCCGGCUUGGCAAUGAGGAUGCAGGUGAUUCGGAGAAGGGCUUCAGGAAACGGACACAUUCAGCCGGCACUUCCCCUACUAUUUCCCACCAGAAGACUCCCUCACAGUCCUCAGUGGCCUCCAUUGAAGAGUAUACCGAGAUGCUCCCUUCGUAUUCCUCUGGUGGCAGCAGGCUCUCCUCUCACCGACAUUCUGCCUUUGUGCCAACCCAUUCUUAUCCCGAGGAGUGUCUAGAGAUGCACCAGGUGGAGGCCAGCCACCACCAGACCAAUUCGGCCCCACACACUGAUGAUGGCUACAUGCCAAUGCUGCCAGGAGUAGCUCCUGUCCCCAAUGGUGGUAGUACUCCAAAAGGUGGUGAUUAUAUGCCCAUGAGCCCAAAAAGCGUGUCUGCCCCACAGCAGAUCAUCAACCCUGGCAGAGGAGGCCGUCACGCGCAGACCGUGGUGGAUUCAAAUGGCUACAUGAUGAUGUCUCCCAGUGGGAGCUGCUCUCCAGACAGUGGUCCCACUGGCUACAGCAAGCUGUGGAUGAAUGGGGCUAGUCAUCAUCCCAAACUCUCAGUGGAGAGUAAUGAGGGGAAGCUGCCAAGUGGUGGCAGUGAUUACAUCAAUAUGUCUCCAGCCAGUGGCUCUACCACCAGCACCCCUCCAGAUUGCUACUUCACCAGCUCUGGACCUCCUGGCCCAGAAGAGCCAUCAGUGCAGGGUCCCGGCCAGUCCCACCACAAGCCCAUCCACUCCUACUUCUCCCUGCCACGUUCCUUCAAACACAUGCAACGCAGGACAGGCGAAGAGGGAAAUUCCCAGAUGCGCCUGUCCUUCAGCUCCGGUCGUUUGCUCUAUGCUGCUGCUGAAGACUCUUCCUCCUCCACCAGUAGUGAUAGUCUUGGUGGCCUUGGGGGACAGGAGAGUGGCGGGUAUUCCCUUCCCACCCAGACACAGCCAUUGCAGCCUGCGCCUUCUUGUACUGUGGACACAGCUGUGCGGACCAAGAGCCGUCUGGCCAGACCUACCCGUCUGUCCCUGGAUGGCCCAAAGGCCAGCACCCUGCCUCGUGCUCGGGAACAGCUCCCAGAGCCCAAAAGCCCUGGAGAAUAUGUGAACAUUGAAUUUAAGCAGCCAGCCUUCCCAUCGCCCCACGGAGAUGCUGGCUCCAGUUCAGAGGAGUACAUGAAUAUGGACUGGGGGGCUGCCUGCCCUACCAGCUUGGCACCUACACAGCCAAGCCAAGGUGGGGCAGGCCCCACUGGUGCUCGAGACUAUAUGAGCAUGCAGCUGGGCAGUGGGGGACAGUACGUGGUCUGUGCCCACACCCCCUCACCUUCUCCUCCAGCCCUUCUGCUCAGCUAUGCUGACAUGAGGAUGGGGCGUGGUAGGCCAGAGAAAAGCCCGCUGCCCAUGGGGCUGCCUGCCCCACAUCCUCAGACUCAGCCGGGUGAACUGGAUGCAGUCCUGCCCCACUCCUGCUCCUCAUCCAUGAUUGGGGCUCCGGGGAUGAGCAGCGCCUUCACACACGUCAGCCUGAGCCCUAGCCGCAGCACCCAGAGUGCCAAAGUGAUCCGAGCUGACCCGCAGGGAGGCCGCCGGCGUCACAGUUCCGAGACGUUUGCUUCCUCCACCCGCAGCAGUGGCCUCGGGGCCUCAACCCUUCCCCAUGGACCAGGAGAGGAUGCGAAACGUCACAGCUCAGCCUCCUUUGAAAACGUCUGGCUGAAGCCUCUGUGUGGGGAACUGGGGGCCUCCUCCAGCCCGGGAGCCCCCAUAAGGAGGGAGCAGGCAGCUGGUGGGGCUGGGGGAGGCGCUGAGAACGGGCUCAACUACAUUGACCUGGACUUAGCGAAGGAUUUUAAUCACCGCCAGCAUCACCAUCACCACCCCCACCCUCAAGAGAGCACUUCUUUGCUAGGGGUCAAGCAGCCGACACAGCAGCAUCAGCCACCUAAAUCUCCAAAUCAGCCUUGUGGGAGUAGCCACUUGAGUGAUGAAUUAAGUGCGUAUGCCAGCAUUAGCUUCCACAAGCGGGAGGACAUCCAGUAGCUGGGCAAGAGCCAGAGACAAGGCCUCAAAGGACUGGCAGAAAGUACAGGAAAAAAAAGGAGAUGAAAGUAUACAUAUUUGAAAGCAAAAUGGCAAGAUGAACAUCUAGGAUAUGGUGGCAUUUCCACACUGCAAUUCUGAGGAGAAAAACUAUGAUACUGUCACAUAAAAUAUGUAUUUCCAAAUUAGUACUAAGACGAUAAAGCAUAUCCUUGCAUUUAGUAAGAACUAUUCUGAAGACAUGUCAGCGAGGAGGACCACACUAAUGAAAAUGCAAGAAGUUUUUCCAACAUUCUUGUGCCAUAAGUCCUCUUUCUGCUUCUUUUAUAAUACCACCAUCACUGCAAAGAGUUUCUCCAUCAGCAACAGUAUCUUCAAGUAAACAAACCUUGCAAACACUUGAAUCCCAAAAGUGCUCAGCAACAUCUGUAGACAAGAAGACACUUGAAGAUGAAGAAAAAUACUGCAAGAGCAAUAUAUUCUGGAACCCCAUAGUUAAUAAAUGAAAUUGCAAAUGCACUUUUAGAUUAUCAAGAUCAUCAUACCAUUUACCUAUAGACAUGAUUGCAGCAACACUUUUUUGAGUCAUAAUUUGAACAUCCAAUGGAAUCUGAGCAAAGAAAACAUCAAAAAACCACUGUGUCUUCUAGCGAUAUUUACAAAUGGAUGGCCAAAUGUGAGGGGCAAAGAAAUUACACAAUAUGUCAACCAGAGUUUUACAGAAGCAUUGCAACCGGAGAGAAGAGACAUGCUGCAUGGUAUAUCAUUUCUCAAAUAUGUACAACUUAAAGAAUAUUAGGAAUGAUAAAAGUGUUUGCUUUGCUGCCUAACAAUGCAAAUAGUAUGACAGUAGCAUGAGAGAUCAUAACGGAUAUGUGUCCAUAUAUUACUGAAAUAGGAUGUUCAUACCAUGGGCUAAAUUUGCUCAAGAAAGUCAUGAACUCUCCAAAAGAUAGUUAGACAAGUAAAAGAAGUUAUAAAACAAGUGUUUUUGAUAAUCCAUAAAACAGAAAUGCUACUCAUAUUGCAGGUGCAAUCUUCAAGAAGAAGCAAGAAGACAAAAAUGCAAAGAAUAAUAUAGUGACAAUGCAGCUCUGUAGUAAAACUUGAUGGAGAAGAAUGGUGAUCUCCUUUGCAAGUUUACAAACAAACAUACAAACAAGCUCUUCAAGAAAGAAUAAUAGUUAAGGAUCUUAAAAUACUCAGAUAUGUCAGAAACACUGUAUUUUAUGAGUGUGAUUUAGCUGCAAAACACCCUGAAGAUUUCUAAAGCCAAUUUCUUCAGCAAGUCCCUGCAUCUGAAUCAGACAGUGUACUUUUGCCACAAAUCAGUGAGAUAACAACAGUGAGAAAAACAAAGAUGAAGAAGCAGAAGUAGAAACAGAAACUGAUAGUAAUAUAUCAUAAAACCUGCCUAAGUAAAGUUGAUGUAUAUUAAUUGACUGUUGGUUCAUCUCACCCCCGCCCUGCCUUUUCCUCCAUUCUUUUUAUGGGAAUGAUUGCUUUAUGUCUGCGUGACACUGUGGACUAGAGGAGACAUCAUUCUCUUCGUUUUACUAAUAUUGAUAUUUUUAUUGUUUUUUCCUGUUCUGCAUAAACUGGCACAACCAAGGAGCUUCCUUACAGUACAGAUAUUCUUUACAAAAAAAUAAAAAUAAAAAAUAUAAAUAAAUUCAGUGUGUACUUAUUGUUUGAGCAAACUGUACAGUUAAUAUGUCAAACAUUAUAAUUUUAUAUUAGACCAAGUUGUACGUAAUACAUAUUUUCCCUUAAGUAGCAAACUGACUUUCAAUGUAUACAGUCUGCUGAUACAUUGACAACCCCCUCCAGCUGAACAGAAAGUCAUUUUCUCGGGGGAAAAAACCUGGAAAUGGAUUUUUCCCCAUGCCUUUAAAAUUUCUUGAAAUUUUACAAUUGUACUUCACAUACACACAGAAACAUUAACAAUUGUGUGCUAUGAGCAGAGAUGAAGACAGAUGUCUGAGAUUUUGAACUCUUCUUAGAGUUUGGGUACAAGAAUGGUCAUGAAAAGCUCCUGUACUUCAAAGUGUAUUACUAAACUAUUGGAGGAAACCUCCUAAGGGAUCACAAAGGCAGAGCAACACACAGGGUUACCCUUGCUCUUGCAAAAACAAGGGAAUAGCUAAAAUGUUGCAUA